UCCCUGGUGGCUCAGUGGUAAAGAAUCUGCCUGCCAAUACAGGAGACCCAGGUUUGAUCCCUGGUCUGGGAA
rfam:Ovis aries breed Texel chromosome 14, whole genome shotgun sequence.